UUUGUGGCGCAAAUGAAAUGCCAAUUGGCGCAAAAGCAAAGCACCGCAUUAUCAAUCAAUCAACUCAUUUCUAAAGCUAUAAUCUUUAAAUAUCUAUGUUAUAUAAAAAAAGAAAGAUGUGGUAUGAUUGCCAAUGAGACAAUUGUUCACAAAAGACCAAAAUGACACAGACAUUAACAACUAUAGGUCACCGUACGGCCUUCAACAAUGAGCAAAGCCCAUACCGCAUAGUCAGCUAUAAAAGGCACUGAUAAGACAAUGUAAAACAAUUCAAACGAGAAAACUAACGGCCUUAUUUAUAUAAAAAAAAAUGAACGAAAAACAAAUAUGUAACACAUAAAAAAACG
rnacentral:lncRNA from 1 species